AUAUUUUGCUUGAUGUAGAAGAGUUUAUGAACGUAGAGGUAGUACAAGGUGUUUUGAUGCAAGUGAAGGGCCACCAUGUACCAGGAACACUCGUUGCUUACCAUCUAUACGAGUGAAAUUAGAAGGUAGAAGCUGGACCAGAAAUUGGUUAAAAGGCUAAACACUGCUAUCUUGGCUGCCAAAGCUUUGGCUGCUGACGCUGAGCAGAAGCAGUUUGGAAACGAACUCGUCAGGGAAUGGCUUGAUAAUCUCAAGGAUGCUCUCUACACUGCUGAUGAAAACUUGCUCAGUCAUGACCAAGACUGAAGUUAUAUUCAUCAUCUGUGUGUUUCCAAAUUAUAGUUUAUUAUUUUUCAUUACUAAUAUUUUGUGACUUU